GACGAACGCUGGCGGCGUGCUCAACACAUGCAAGUCGAACGGAAAGGCCCUGCUUUUGUGGGGUGCUCGAGUGGCGAACGGGUGAGUAACACGUGAGUAACCUGCCCUUGACUGUGGGAUAACUUCAGGAAACUGGGGCUAAUACCGGAUAGGAGCUCCUGCUGCAUGGUGGGGGUUGGAAAGUUUCGGCGGUUGGGGAUGGACUCGCGGCUUAUCAGCUUGUUGGUGGGGUAGUGGCUUACCAAGGCUUUGACGGGUAGCCGGCCUGAGAGGGUGACCGGCCACAUUGGGCCUGAGAUACGGCCCAGACUCCUACGGGAGGCAGCAGUGGGGAAUAUUGCACAAUGGGCGGAAGCCUGAUGCAGCAACGCCGCGUGCGGGAUGACGGCCUUCGGGUUGUAAACCGCUUUCGCCUGUGACGAAGCGUGAGUGACGGUAAUGGGUAAAGAAGCACCGGCUAACUACGUG
rnacentral:rRNA from 1 species